AUCCCAUCGAGACCCCAGUCAGUCGGAGCCCC
rnacentral:rRNA from 1 species